CCUACGGGAGGCAGCAGUGGGGAAUAUUGCGCACUAGGCGAAAGCCUGACGCAGCGACGCCGCGUGAGGGAUGAAGGUCUUCGGAUCGUAAACCUCUGUCAGCAGGGAAGAACGGUCACUGUGCUAAUCAGCAGUGAAUUGACGGUACCUGCAAAGGAAGCACCGGCUAACUCCGUGCCAGCAGCCGCGGUAAUACGGAGGGUGCGAGCGUUAAUCGGAAUUACUGGGCGUAAAGCGCUCGUAGGCGGUAUGUCAAGUCAAGGGUGAAAUCCCCGCGCUCAACGGGGGAACUGCCUUUGAAACUGGCAAACUGGAGUGUGGGAGAGGAUAGUGGAAUUCCAGGUGUAGGAGUGAAAUGCGUAGAUAUCUGGAGGAACAUCAGUGGCGAAGGCGACUAUCUGGCACAUAACUGACGCUGAGGAGCGAAAGCGUGGGUAGCAAACAGGAUUAGAUACCCCAGUAGUC
rnacentral:rRNA from 1 species